GAUGAACGCUGGCGGCGUGCCUAAUACAUGCAAGUCGAGCGAACGGACGAGAAGCUUGCUUCUCUGAUGUUAGCGGCGGACGGGUGAGUAACACGUGGAUAACCUACCUAUAAGACUGGGAUAACUUCGGGAAACCGUAGCUAAUACCGGAUAAUAUUUUGAACCGCAUGGUUCAAAAGUGAAAGACGGUCUUGCUGUCACUUAUAGAUGGAUCCGCGCUGCAUUAGCUAGUUGGUAAGGUAACGGCUUACCAAGGCAACGAUGCAUAGCCGACCUGAGAGGGUGAUCGGCCACCCUGGAACUGAGACACGGUCCAGACUCCUACGGGAGGCAGCAGUAGGGAAUCUUCCGCAAUGGGCGAAAGCCUGACGGAGCAACGCCGCGUGAGUGAUGAAGGUCUUCGGAUCGUAAAACUCUGUUAUUAGGGAAGAACAUAUGUGUAAGUAACUGUGCACAUCUUGACGGUACCUAAUAAGAAAGCCACGGCUAACUACGUG
rnacentral:rRNA from 1 species